UAAUUUGUCUAGAGCAGAUAUUCAUCUAGUUGUGGCAGACUCACAUCUGGCAGCUCAGAAUCACUCGUUAUCGCAAGCCCAACUACAUCAUUAAUGGUCUCUCAGGGUAAGUCAUGAGGAAUUUGAAGCAUAUAAUUAAAACGAUAUAACUUGUCCCAAUAUCAUAAA
rnacentral:pre_miRNA from 1 species